ensembl:lncRNA
CUUGGUCCCUUUGAGGAUCAUGUGGUUAAACAUACAUUGGAGACUGUAUUUUUCUUUCUUCAUCUCCUCUUCCUCCAACAGCCUCAAGGGCUUGUUAAAUUUUUCCUCCAAUGUCUUGGCUAACUUCUUCAUUGUUCCAUUCCUGUCAUUGCCAUUGCCUUUCUCCACGUCCUACUUCACUGCGCUGGGAGACAGUGGGAGAAUUUCAGUUAAAAAUCUUCAUGUGAGAGUUUUGGCUGACUAAACAAAGAGUGCACGGUCUGGUGGGGAAGACACACAUUUGGAGAUGACAGUGCUGUGACCAGGGAGCUCACACAGUGCUACAGACCACAUGGAGGGAGGCCACACUGGGAAUGCUCAAGCAUGUUUUCUACAUUGGAAGACAUAUUUAAAAUCUCAGUAGCCCAAACUGAAAGGUAUGUUAAGCACAGAAAACACCCAUGAAUAUUGGGCUUGGUGUUACCCAGUCUCACCUUGAGGUCUCGAAGUGUGUCCUCCACAGGUGCAUGCCUGGGUGAGCACAGCCAUACCGACCACACAUACAAAAGAAAGACAUUCUCUAUCAACUCCAACCAAGCUGGAGUUGGUUCUUCCAGAGGAGCUAAGAAUGGUGACCAAUUGACUUCCAUGACACUGAAUAAGUGAUGUCUUGCUUUAUGAUAUUUGGCUUCUGUUAUUACAAAUAAUUAAUACCAGAUAAAGUUGGGCCAUGAUAAAUGCUAUGAUAAUCUCUUUAGGGCAAAGGACUGUGUGCUGUAUGAAACAUUCAAAAUUGGAUUUUUUUUUUCUACUAAGACUCUGAAACUUCAAAGGCAGCCUGAUGACUGUACAUGGAAAAGAGUUUUCUUGGAACAUGGCCAACCUUUUCUUAGUUGAUUGUUUCUGAAUUAAUCUUAUUUAAUCAUCUCUGAUGCCCUGCACUGUGGCUCCCUUUCGCACAGAUUGGAUGGUUCUCUGGCCGGACUGCACGGAGCAUGUUUUGGGAGGUAAGAUGCAGCAAACGUAAACUGAAGUGGAUGGCUCUCCUUCGAGGACAACAUUUAUUUCCGCCAGAUCCUGACUGACUUCCUGAGAGCCUACGGUUCCAGACAGCAAUCAGAGGAUAGUGUUGCUAAAUUGGUCAGCACAGAAAUUUUGAGAUUAAAACCCAAAGUCCAGAAUUCUUCAGCAGAUGGAGAAAUGGAGUCUGAAGGAGACUGACUUACAUUGAGGGUUGGCUAUGAAUUAGAGGCAGGUCAAGGCAAGAAAAGCCCAGGUCAUCCUUGACGGACUCAUAUUCUACAGGAGGUACAGAGACUUUUGUCUUUCCCGAUUGUUUCUACUCCUGGUUCCAAAUCCCAGGUUUUGCUGAUGAAAUAAACUGAGAGAUGGAGUUUAAGUGGUCCUCACAUAAGGAAAUGAAGAUACAGGGCUCCAGGGAUAAGGAGGAUUGCCUGAAAGCGGCCUCCACAUACCAAGGAGUCUCUUCCCCUUUCUUGGUUCUUCCCUGAACUCCAUAUUCAGUCAAAUUUAUUUCUCCUCAGAGUCCUUUUAGUCUUUGCUUAAUGAGACUGCUGGUUGCCAAGGGUGGGAUUGCCAUUCAGUUAUGCACAGCUUGUAUUCAUCUUCCUGAGAAAGGACAUGGCAUAUGAAAGGAUUGCCAAGGGCAACCGUGGUGGCAUUUCUGAGAGAGCAGCGGCAUUCCCAGCAGUGAGAGGAAACACCAAGUGCUCAGUAGCGGAUGGAGGGUGGUGAUGGCAGGAGGCAGGACUCCUAGAGGAAUUACAACACUCCUACACUGCCAGGCCUCUAGUGCCCAUUAGACCUGCUUGUUUUGUAAGCAUCCGGGAGUCUGGUUUGCAGGAUAUACCUGAGCCAAGUUUAGGCUGGAAGGAAAUUUGUGGGGAGGAAAAUUUGCUUAGUUGCAAAUGAGUUAGAACAGCCUGAUGCCCUUCGUAGAUCAAACAACACUUCACUGCUGGCUACUGGCUUUAGAUACCCAAACCGAUUCUUCAUUGAGGCCCAUUGCUAAGAAAUGCAGCUCUUUGACUUGCCUAUAGUAAGGCACCAAACAAUGCCCUUAAAGGCUCAGCAAUGACUUGGAAUAGAACUUGUGGAGUGUGUAGCCUGGCCAGGACAGAGUAGCUGGCAAGCUGGCUGGACUCAGUCUUCAUGUUUUAGACCAGAAGCAAAGAAAAUGGCUACUCUUAACUCUGUUGUCUGUGUAUUGCUUGGGGAGACAGUGGGCAAAAGAAGCUGCUGUUCUGUGUUGUAGGCACUUUUGGUGGUUCCAACCACAUUCUCCCCUCACCUCAGUGCCUCAAUUCUGUACAAACCCUACAUUUCCUCUCGGGGGGGGGGGGGGGGGGGGGGAAAGGCUUUGUAGCAAUGCAUAUGACAGGAAAUACAUAGUUUGAUUGGGAUGAGUUUCAUUUUUAAUUAAUUAAGCUGGUUCCUUCUUCAAAUUCAAACUUUAAACACAGAGCCACAGUUUAGAGAACAACUCCCCAAAUUAGAAAGGAAACCUCACGUUUUUGUUGAGGUAUAAAUGACAUUAAAAUAAACUACAUUCUUAAAGGGUGCGAUUUAAUGUGCUUUGACGUAUGGAUCACCACUUGAUUAUGGUGAAAUCAUCACCACAUAAUGAAAACAUUCAUCACUUCCUCCCCAGAUUUCCCUCGUGCUCCUUUGCAGUCAACCGUGCUCCCUUUUCCUGACCCAGCCUAUGGACCCCUAGCAUCCCCAGGCAGCAGGCACCAGUUUACCUUCAUCUUAGUUUCCAUUUUC